CACUAUGCCUAGCCCUAAACAUUGACAGUACGUUACAUCAGCUGUCCGCCUGGGUACUACGAGCACGAGCUUAAAACCCAAAGGACUUGGCGGUGCUUUAGACCCAUCUAGAGGAGCCUGUCCGAGAACCGAUAAUCCCCGUUAAACCUCACCCUUCCUUGUUCUUUCCGCUUAUAUACCACCGUCGCCAGCCUACCCUGUGAGGGAUUCAAAUAGUGGGCGUAAUCGGUACAACCCCAAACGUCAGGUCGAGGUGUAGCGUAUGGAGGGGGAUGAGAUGGGCUACAGUCACUAAGAACAGUGAAUACGAAUGAUCGCUCUGAAACGAGUAUCUGAAGAAGGAUUUAGUAGUAAGCAAAAAGCAGAGUGUUUUGCUGAAUUUGGCGCUGAAGCGUGCACACACCGCCCGUCACUCUCCCUGAAUUAGUCCGGAUGAUAACUAAUACCCCACAUAAGAAACAAGGGGAGACAAGUCGUAA
rnacentral:rRNA from 1 species